rnacentral:rRNA from 1 species
GGCCAGACUCCUACGGGAGGCAGCAGUGAGGAAUAUUGGUCAAUGGGCUUACGCCUGAACCAGCCAAGUCGCGUGAGGGAUGACGGCCCUACGGGUUGUAAACCUCUUUUGCCGGGGAGCAAAGAGCGGGACGCGUCCCGCCUCGAGAGUACCCGGAGAAAAAGCAUCGGCUAACUCCGUGCCAGCAGCCGCGGUAAUACGGAGGAUGCGAGCGUUGUCCGGAUUUAUUGGGUUUAAAGGGUGCGCAGGCGGAGGCGCAAGUCAGGGGUAAAUUCGGGGGGCUCAACCUCGCUCCGCCGUUGAAACUGGCGUUCUUGAGUGGGCGAGAAGUAUGCGGAAUGCGUGGUGUAGCGGUGAAAUGCAUAGAUAUCACGCAGAACUCCGAUUGCGAAGGCAGCAUACCGGCGCCCAACUGACGCUGAAGCACGAAAGCGUGGGUAUCGAACAGGAUUAGAUACCCUAGUAA